GAGUUUUGAUCCUGGCUCAGGACGAACGCUGGCGGCGUGCYUAAUACAUGCAAGUCGAACGAACUCUGGUAUUGAUUGGUGCUUGCAUCAUGAUUUACAUUUGAGUGAGUGGCGAACUGGUGAGUAACACGUGGGAAACCUGCCCAGAAGCGGGGGAUAACACCUGGAAACAGAUGCUAAUACCGCAUAACAACUUGGACCGCAUGGUCCGAGUUUGAAAGAUGGCUUCGGCUAUCACUUUUGGAUGGUCCCGCGGCGUAUUAGCUAGAUGGUGRGGUAACGGCUCACCAUGGCAAUGAUACGUAGCCGACCUGAGAGGGUAAUCGGCCACAUUGGGACUGAGACACGGCCCAAACUCCUACGGGAGGCAGCAGUAGGGAAUCUUCCACAAUGGACGAAAGUCUGAUGGAGCAACGCCGCGUGAGUGAAGAAGGGUUUCGGCUCGUAAAACUCUGUUGUUAAAGAAGAACAUAUCUGAGAGUAACUGUUCAGGUAUUGACGGUAUUUAACCAGAAAGCCACGGCUAACUACGUGCCAGCAGCCGCGGUAAUACGUAGGUGGCAAGCGUUGUCCGGAUUUAUUGGGCGUAAAGCGAGCGCAGGCGGUUUUUUAAGUCUGAUGUGAAAGCCUUCGGCUCAACCGAAGAAGUGCAUCGGAAACUGGGAAACUUGAGUGCAGAAGAGGACAGUGGAACUCCAUGUGUAGCGGUGAAAUGCGUAGAUAUAUGGAAGAACACCAGUGGCGAAGGCGGCUGUCUGGUCUGUAACUGACGCUGAGGCUCGAAAGUAUGGGUAGCAAACAGGAUUAGAUACCCUGGUAGUCCAUACCGUAAACGAUGAAUGCUAAGUGUUGGAGGGUUUCCGCCCUUCAGUGCUGCAGCUAACGCAUUAAGCAUUCCGCCUGGGGAGUACGGCCGCAAGGCUGAAACUCAAAGGAAUUGACGGGGGCCCGCACAAGCGGUGGAGCAUGUGGUUUAAUUCGAAGCUACGCGAAGAACCUUACCAGGUCUUGACAUACUAUGCAAAUCUAAGAGAUUAGACGUUCCCUUCGGGGACAUGGAUACAGGUGGUGCAUGGUUGUCGUCAGCUCGUGUCGUGAGAUGUUGGGUUAAGUCCCGCAACGAGCGCAACCCUUAUUAUCAGUUGCCAGCAUUAAGUUGGGCACUCUGGUGAGACUGCCGGUGACAAACCGGAGGAAGGUGGGGAUGACGUCAAAUCAUCAUGCCCCUUAUGACCUGGGCUACACACGUGCUACAAUGGAUGGUACAACGAGUUGCGAACUCGCGAGAGUAAGCUAAUCUCUUAAAGCCAUUCUCAGUUCGGAUUGUAGGCUGCAACUCGCCUACAUGAAGUCGGAAUCGCUAGUAAUCGCGGAUCAGCAUGCCGCGGUGAAUACGUUCCCGGGCCUUGUACACACCGCCCGUCACACCAUGAGAGUUUGUAACACCCAAAGUCGGUGGGGUAACCUUUUAGGAACCAGCCGCCUAAGGUGGGACAGAUGAUUAGGGUGAAGUCGUAACAAGGUAA
rnacentral:rRNA from 1 species